GACAGCAGUCGCCACGGUAAUACGGAGGGGGCUAGCGUUGUUUGGAAUUACUGGGCGUAAAGCGCACGUAGGCGGCUUGGUAAGUUAGAGGUGAAAGCCCGGAGCUCAACUCCGGAAUUGCCUUUAAGACUGCCGAGCUAGCAGGUGAGAGAGGUAAGUGGAAUUCCGAGUGUAGAGGUGAAAUUCGUAGAUAUUCGGAAGAACACCAGUGGCGAAGGCGGCUUACUGGCUCAUACUGGACGCUGAGGUGCGAAAGCGUGGGGAGCAAACAGGAUUAGAGACCCGUGUAGUCCCUGUCUCUUAUAC
rnacentral:rRNA from 1 species